rnacentral:rRNA from 1 species
GACGAACGCUGGCGGCGUGCCUAAUACAUGCAAGUCGAACGAACUCUGGUAUUGAUUGGUGCUUGCAUCAUGAUUUACAUUUGAGUGAGUGGCGAACUGGUGAGUAACACGUGGGAAACCUGCCCAGAAGCGGGGGGAUAACACCUGGAAACAGAUGCUAAUACCGCAUAACAACUUGGACCGCAUGGUCCGAGUUUGAAAGAUGGCUUCGGCUAUCACUUUUGGAU